rnacentral:rRNA from 3 species
CUGCCGUUGGAUCAGU